rnacentral:rRNA from 1 species
AAAACUCAAAUGAAUUUGACGGGGACCCGCACAAGCGGUGGAGCAUGUGGUUUAAUUCGAUGCAACGCGAAAAACCUUACCUACACUUGACAUACUUUGAAUUUUUUAGAGAUAAAAAAGUGCCUUCGGGAACGAAGAUACAGGUGCUGCAUGGCUGUCGUCAGCUCGUGUCGUGAGAUGUUGGGUUAAGUCCUAUAACGAGCGCAACCCUUACCCUUAUUUGCCAGCGGUUCGGCCGGGAACUAUAAGGGAACUGCCGGUAAUAAGCCGGAGGAAGGUGGGGACGACGUCAAGUCAUCAUGGCCCUUACGUGUAGGGCUACACACGUGCUACAAUGGGAGAUACAGACGGUUGCGAAAGCGCGAGCUGGAGCUAAUCUGAGAAAGUCUCUCGUAGUCCGAAUUGCAGUCUGGAACUCGACUGCAUGAAGCCGGAAUCGCUAGUAAUCGCGGAUCAGCAUGCCGCGGUGAAUACGUUCUCGGGUCUUGUACACACCGCCCGUCACACCAUGGGAGUGAAUUGCACCAGAAGUAGAUAGCUUAACCUUCGGGAUGGCGUUUACCACGGUGUGGUCCAUGACUGGGGUGAAGUCAUAACAAGGUAACCGUA